GCUUACGGCCAUACCCGCC
rnacentral:rRNA from 1 species